GACGAACGCUGGCGGCGUGCCUAAUACAUGCAAGUCGAGCGCAGGAAACUGACGGAACUCUUCGGAGGGAAGGCAGUGGAAUGAGCGGCGGACGGGUGAGUAACACGUAAGGAACCUGCCUCAAGGAUUGGGAUAACUCCGAGAAAUCGGAGCUAAUACCGGAUAGUUCAUCGGACCGCAUGGCCCGUUGAUGAAAGGCGCUCCGGCGUCACCUUGAGAUGGCCUUGCGGUGCAUUAGCUAGUUGGUGGGGUAACGGCCCACCAAGGCGACGAUGCAUAGCCGACCUGAGAGGGUGAUCGGCCACACUGGGACUGAGACACGGCCCAGACUCCUACGGGAGGCAGCAGUAGGGAAUCUUCCACAAUGGACGAAAGUCUGAUGGAGCAACGCCGCGUGAGUGAUGAAGGUUUUCGGAUCGUAAAACUCUGUUGUAAGGGAAGAACACGUACGAGAGGGAAUGCUCGUACCUUGACGGUACCUUACGAGAAAGCCACGGCCAACUACGUGCCAGCAGCCGCGGUAACAC
rnacentral:rRNA from 1 species